rnacentral:rRNA from 1 species
AUUGAACGCUGGCGGCAGGCCUAACACAUGCAAGUCGAGCGGAAACGACACUAACAAUCCUUCGGGUGCGUUAAUGGGCGUCGAGCGGCGGACGGGUGAGUAAUGCCUAGGAAAUUGCCUUGAUGUGGGGGAUAACCAUUGGAAACGAUGGCUAAUACCGCAUGAUGCCUACGGGCCAAAGAGGGGGACCUUCGGGCCUCUCGCGUCAAGAUAUGCCUAGGUGGGAUUAGCUAGUUGGUGAGGUAAUGGCUCACCAAGGCGACGAUCCCUAGCUGGUCUGAGAGGAUGAUCAGCCACACUGGAACUGAGACACGGUCCAGACUCCUACGGGAGGCAGCAGUGGGGAAUAUUGCACAAUGGGCGCAAGCCUGAUGCAGCCAUGCCGCGUGUAUGAAGAAGGCCUUCGGGUUGUAAAGUACUUUCAGUUGUGAGGAAGGGGGUAGCGUUAAUAGCGCUAUCUCUUGACGUUAGCAACAGAAGAA